rnacentral:snRNA from 1 species
AUCUUUGAGCUUGGGGCAAUGACGCAGUUAGUCAGGUGAAACCGAGACGCGUCAAUUGCUGGUUGAAAUCUAUUUCCUGUUUGUGUGUCUGGCGUGACUCCACGAGCUUCUAAUAUUGCAUCUUCUUAGCUGCA